AUUAGAAGCUCUUUCAAAGCCCUUGCUAAUGUAUACAGCUUCCACUGCUCCUGCUUUGUCCAUUGAAGCAGAAUUUUCUUCAGAAGCCUCUCUGCAAAGAGGAUUUAUGUACAUGCUCAGCCUCACAGCAGCUCAGAGGUAUUGAGGCCAUUCCUGACCCUCAGUGCAGUGCUGCAGGAGCACAAAUCCAAGACAAAGCCAAGUGAAAGAGAAGCAAGGGAUGCUCUGUAACUGGGAUUACAGUGCAAGCAAGACCAAAGGACAAUGCUGUGUCCCCAAAAGACCUAGGGACUCAAAUGACACAUUAAUGAACAGAAAGGAAGUAACAAAAUCAAGAAGAAGAACAAAGCAGAAAAAAACCUUCGAUGUACACAGAUAAAGAAAGAGUUCUGCCAAAUGUCCUUGUGGCCCAUGCAUUCCGCAUUCUUUGUGCCUACAACCAGCAGCACAUCACUGUCCCCAAGCUUUGCUAACCACUCCCUAGGUCUCAGACCACUGACCACAUAACAAGCCCUAAAAUUUAACCAGGCAAUUCCACCGACAAGCAAUUGGUCUUCCUAGCACCUGGACGUAAAUUAGAGCUUAUUCCCUGCUGUU